UUAGAGUUUGAUCCUGGCUCAGGAUGAACGCUAGCGGCAGGCCUAAUACAUGCAAGUCGAGGGGCAGCACGGUUUUCGGACUGGUGGCGACCGGCGCACGGGUGCGUAACGCGUAUGCAACCUACCCUAUACAGGGGGAUAGCCCAGAGAAAUUUGGAUUAAUACCCCAUGGUACUGUUAAGAGGCAUCUUUUGAUGGUUAAAGAUUUAUUGGUAUAGGAUGGGCAUGCGUUAGAUUAGUUAGUUGGUGAGGUAACGGCUCACCAAGGCGACGAUCUAUAGGGGUUCUGAGAGGAUGAUCCCCCACACUGGCACUGAGAUACGGGCCAGACUCCUACGGGAGGCAGCAGUAGGGAAUAUUGGUCAAUGGGCGAGAGCCUGAACCAGCCAUGCCGCGUGCAGGAUGACGGCCUUCUGGGUUGUAAACUGCUUUUAUAUGGGAAGAAAAGGGUCCUGCGGGACAUAUUGCCGGUACCAUAUGAAUAAGCACCGGCUAACUCCGUGCCAGCAGCCGCGGUAAUACGGAGGGUGCAAGCGUUGUCCGGAUUUAUUGGGUUUAAAGGGUGCGUAGGCGGGUAAUUAAGUCAGUGGUGAAAGCCUGCAGCCUAACUGUAGAAUUGCCAUUGAUACUGGUUAUCUUGAGUACAUAUAAGGUAGGCGGAAUUGAUGAUGUAGCGGUGAAAUGCAUAGAUAUCAUCAGGAACUCCAAUUGCGAAGGCAGCUUACUGGUAUGUAACUGACGCUGAGGCACGAAAGCGUGGGGAGCGAACAGGAUUAGAUACCCUGGUAGUCCACGCCGUAAACGAUGAUUACUCGCUGCUUGCGAUAGACUGUGAGU
rnacentral:rRNA from 1 species